AACGAACGCUGGCGGCGUGUUUAAGACAUGCAAGUCGCACGGGGCAGGUUGAGUAGCAAUACGAGAUCUGUUCAGUGGCGCACGGGUGAGUAACACGUGAAUUACAUGCCCUUCAGUGGGGAAUAGCCCAGGGAAACUUGGAUUAAUACCCCAUGGUCUCGCAAGAGUAAAGGUGGCCGCAAGGCUGUCGCUGAAGGAUUGGUUCGCGCCCUAUCAGCUUGUUGGUGAGGUAACGGCUCACCAAGGCUACGACGGGUACCUGGUCUGAGA
rnacentral:rRNA from 1 species